UCUGGGAUUAGAUACCCUGUUAUUUAAAAUAUAAGGUUUUAUUAUAAAGUAGUAAAUUUUAGUCUAGAAAUUUAAAGAAUUUGGCGGUAUUUUAAUCUUUUCAGAGGAAUUUGUUUUUUAAUUGAUAUUACUCAUUAAAUCUUACUUAAUUUAAAAAUUUGUAUAUCGUCGUCAUAAGAAAAUCUUUUAAAAGAAAUAAUUUUCUAAAUUUAAAAUUAUAAUUUAUGUCAGAUCAAGAUGCAGUUUAUAAUUAAGAAAAAAUUAAUUACAAUAAAACUAUUUAAAUGAAUAAUUUAUUUUUAUAUAAAUUUGAAGGUGGAUUUGAAUGUAAAUUUUAUUUAUGAAGUAAAAUUGAUUAAAGUUUUAAAAUAUGUACAAAUCGCCCGUCACACUCUCUG
rnacentral:rRNA from 1 species